rnacentral:lncRNA from 1 species
GUGGUAUGAUUGCCAAUGAGAAAACUAGUCACAAGUUAAAAUGACAUGGAUUUUAGGCAUUUAUAGGUCACAGUAUGGCCUUCAACAAUGAGUAAAACCUAUUCUGGAUAGACAGCUAUAUGAGGUUCAGACAUGAAACGUGUGAAACAAUUCAAACGAGGGAAAAAAUGUCAUAAGUUGUAACGAUACAAUUUACGAAAAGAAAAA